UUUUAUGGAGAGUUUGAUCCUGGCUCAGGAUGAACGCUGGCGGCGUGCCUAAUACAUGCAAGUCGAGCGAACAGACGAGGAGCUUGCUCCUCUGACGUUAGCGGCGGACGGGUGAGUAACACGUGGAUAACCUACCUAUAAGACUGGGAUAACUUCGGGAAACCGGAGCUAAUACCGGAUAAUAUAUUGAACCGCAUGGUUCAAUAGUGAAAGACGGUUUUGCUG
rnacentral:rRNA from 1 species